rnacentral:misc_RNA from 1 species
ACAAACUUGGUCAUUUAGAGGAAGUAAAAGUCGUAACAAGGUUUCCGUAGGUGAACCUGCGGAAGGAUCAUUAAUGAAUAGCUUGGUUGAGUUGCUGCUGGCUCUUGAUAAAAGAGCAUGUGCACGCUUGACCCUAGUUUUCACACCCCAGUGCACUUGUGUAGGCUAAAGAACAACAUGUCUUUCGAGAAUGACUCGAACUUGAGAACUGCUGUGCGUUCAUCCGUCAGCUGUUCUCUUGUAGUUCUUUAGUCUAUGUCUUUGUAUACACUCCAAACGUAUGUAACAGAAUGUAAACACACAGGCCUUUUGUGCCUUUAACAUUUAUACAACUUUCAACAACGGAUCUCUUGGCUCUCGCAUCGAUGAAGAACGCAGC